rnacentral:rRNA from 1 species
GACGAACGCUGGCCGCGUGCCUAAUACAUGCAAGUAGUACGCUGAAGAGAGCUGCUCUUCCGGAUGAGUUGCGACGGGUGAGUCACGCGUAGGUAACCUGCCUGGUAGCGGGGGAUUACUAUUGGAAACGAUAGCUAAUACCGCAUAACAGUAGAUAUCGCAUGAUAGCUGCUUAAAAGGUGCAAUUGCACCACUACCAGAUGGACCUGCGUUGUAUUAGCUAGUUGGUGAGGUAACGGCUCACCAAGGCAACGAUACAUAGCCGACCUGAGAGGGUGAUCGGCCACACUGGGACUGAGACACGGCCCAGACUCCUACGGGAGGCAGCAGUAGGGAAUCUUCGGCAAUGGACGGAAGUCUGACCGAGCAACGCCGCGUGAGUGAAGAAGGUUUUCGGAUCGUAAAGCUCUGUUGUAAGAGAAGAACGAGUGUGAGAGUGGAAAGUUCACACUGUGACGGUAUCUUACCAGAAA